GAUGACAACAUUUAUUUCGGAACGAAAUCUGGCUGUGCAAGCCAGGCAAAAUCAAUGUCGAAAAUGUCUAGCCCACGGAAAUUUAGUGAAAAAAUUGCCCUGCAUAAUCAAAAGCAGGCGGAGGAAACAGCUGCCUUUGAGCAGAUUAUGAAAGAAGUAUCUAUAGUUUCUAGGCAUCCACAUACUAGCCCUCAUCACCACCUUCAACUUUCCCCUGCUCUCGGAACAUAUCGCGGAGGAUCAUUACCGAAUGUUAAUCAAUUAGGAAACAGUUCUAGUAUAGAUUUACAGCAAGCACUGCAUAGUUUAGAGGAUAUAAAACAUGCGACAGGGCGUGGAGUUCAAGACCGGGUCUACAGAACACAACGGCCUGCAGCCCAUAGAGGCAGACAUAUAUCCUUUUCAAAUCUUGAUCUUACGGUGUAUAUUUUGGCAAAAAUUGUUUACUUUUCUUCUUUUUUAUUAUUAUUCUGUAUGUUUAAUUUUCAUGUGCUGUAUUUUUCUUUCUCAUGUUUUAGAUGCAAAAGAAGAAAAAGAGUUUGUUUGUUUCUUUCUUUGUUUGUUUGUUUCCUCCAUUUUUACUGCAUUUGUAGUUUUAACAAGAACAUUGUUUUUACCUUUCCUGACUAUUAGUGUCGAAUGUCAUUGGAAGGUCAAUGCUUGAGUUACAGAUAGUAAUACGUUACAUUAAAUUAACUCAGUGUACAUUAAAUUUUUUUUUUUAUCUAAAAUGUAUUGACCAAGACAUGUUCAAAGACAUUAGAUAUCUUCAAGUGAAAAGGGUAUACAACUGUCAGGAUUUUUGCGCUGUUUUUCUUUCUUCCUUCUUUGGGUUUCCUAUGCAUUAUUCCACUUAAGGGUGAACAACUCAAACUAUCAUAAAUUUCAAUUUUUUAUUCAUUUUUUUUUUUUUUUUUUUUGGGGGGGGGGAAUAUGAACUUCCAAUCCUUGGAUCACAAACUGAUUUUAGAUUAUCAAGAUUGGUUUAAUACUUUGUGAAACAUGUAAGAUACAUUUAUUCAUCUCAUAGGUUCAGACCACUGGCCAGGUAACACAUAAUUUAGGGAUCAAUUAUUGUGUUGAAUUUAAUAAUGAUUGCAUCAUUAUUAUGUGCAACCAAACCAGGCAAUAUUUUUUUCAAGGUCUACCUUUCACCACUAAUUGCCUAAAUCUGCAACAUUGUAUAAUCUUUAACAUUGCAAUAAAUGGGAAUUUUCCAGUGCUCCUUCUUCAACUUACAGGGCUGUUUUGAGUAUUUCAGGGGGUGAAAUUACCCCGAUCCAGCCCCCUUGUAAUUUUUCCCUGAACCAAAUCAACUGUACCAUCAAUAGCUUAACUUUUUGUUACAAUGACAGUUUUAUAGUCUACAUGAAUUAUAUUAAACAAAUAGACUAUAGUGAUAGUCUUUGUAUAAUGAUUGUAGUGCUCUGUGAUAAUUUGAUUCCAAAUAAUAAACAUACACUGUAAACUUGUAUUGCAUGGCUAUUAUACAAAAUCAAUUACCCUGGAACACAGCUUUUCUAUUAAUUACUAACUUCAUUCAGCAUAGCAAAGAAAAUUACUUGGCUAAAUAGGUAUAGGCUUAUAUCAGUGAUUUAUUGCAUUCAUUUCAUUUUAGCUUUCCUUUGAAGCAACUUUAAUAUUUAUGAAAAAUUGUAUUAUCGCCCUUAGUGUGUAUAUACUAACAAUAAUGGUGAUGCCCUAUUGAGCGCACACACCAUCCAGAGAUGCUCAUGGUGCUAGCACAGCAACAGUUCCUUUGGAUAUGUACAUGUGCAUAUAAACAACUACAAAUAUAAAUAUAAUAUAAAUGUUUCAGGUUGAUUGCUGAGCAUUUAUUUUCCAGAAUGUAAAGUAUUUUUUCAAUGUAAUACGAGGUGAAGUUUUUAUGCAAAGCUAUGGAUACCCCAUAGUUGUUAAAAUUGACUAAAAUCCUAAAUUGACACUAAUUUGUGUCAACAAAGUCUACUUAUUUAGGAAAUACUGUCAUUGGUCUUAAUAUCUUUACUGAUCUUAAACAUUGGAAAAUGUAUAAGUUUUGCAUAAAAUGAACAAUGCAUUUUAAUCCUCAUCCUUGGUCGAGAUUUGGUUACUGAAUCCUCCAAAAGUGUACACCUGUAUAUCACUACCGUAUACCAUUUCAUUACUUGAUUAUAUGGAUGAUUAUGCCCAAAAGAGCUGUGGCGUGAAGGAUGUAAACUAAAAUUGUAUUUUAUUGGAUAACUUGACUGAGUCGUAUGCCCGACAAAUUGUUUUUGUCUUGUUAAACACCUCGGCUGGCCUCGAAAACAUGAUUUCGAGAUGAUCGCGUUUCAAGUUUGGAUGUUUUUCAGACUCCCAUAACUUUGCACUUUGAAAGAACCAGAUCAAAUAUUUAUACCAAUUUAAAUCAUACAUUUAUUCUUUUAUAAUAUACGAAAUCUUGUCCGCAAUUCAUAUUCAUUCUUUCAAUAUGUAAAAUGAAGCGCAUGUAUGCAUUUCAUAAGCUGCUAUUUUUACCAAAAAUGGAAUUUGAGUCACUUUGUAAAAUCAUGCACACCAUGUGCAUUGUGCACUGCUUUUAGCGAGACAGACCACGGUUUGAGCCAGUUCGUAAAAUUAUUUUUGCUAUGCGCAUGCUUUUUAGAGGCACAAACCACUUACAUGCAGCCUAUUUGGUCAGGCCUUUGACUUAUUGCUGCCAUUCCACAGACUCUAUAGUACACAAAGAAUGGUUUGAGCCAGUUCGUAAAAUCAAAGGAGGGGGUUGAGCCAGUUUCUAAUGAAAUUUAAAUAUGCUCUUUUUCUUUAAAUGAUACAAAUUUUUAUCUGAAUUUUUUUGCAAAUCGAUAGAGUAAAUCACAGGCUUUCAGAGUAUGCAAAAAAUAAAUGUAAAAAAUUUUACCAAAAAUUAGGUUUGAGCCGGUUCGUUAAAUCACUGAUGACAUAAUCUUUGUCAGCAGACUUCUCAUAUCCAACCACCUCACAUUGUAAAAAUAAGUGCUCAAACUGGUAUUUUGAAUAAAAAUAAUAUUACUGAGAGAGGGCGCUAUAUUGAAAUUUGAAUCCCAACUGCAGGGAAAAUUAAAUAUUUUAAUCUGAAUGGGUAAUUUAAUGCAUUCAAUGACUACUAUGCUGUAAUAUUAUAAUGUUCCAUGAUUUUUAGUAUAGUUCAUAUUCCCUUUAUCUAUAGUUUAGGAGGUAAUUGCUGAUGGAUUCUGUAGUAUUGUCAGUUCAGUUUAUUGCAUCAUGUGAACAGGGCUAUACGGUCCUACAUGUAUACUCAUCUGUUCUUGCCUUGGGAAUUCUUACUGGGUCCUGUUUCCUGUAGUCAUGUAUAAGUACAUUGACCCCCUUCCUGGCAGGAGAGGGAAGGGGAGGAAGAGACGGGGAUUGGGGGAGGGGGUAAGGGAAGGGGGUUAUGACUCAUUGUCCAUCUCAUGUUUAUCUGUCACUGUAAAACAGUAAUUCUCUCUGUAUAUCAACAUGCAGACAAUUCAAAUACCAUAACAGACAGUAUAGGUCCUUUUGGCUCAUCAAAGGAAUAUUGUGUUUGAUCAUCUGAGCCUCAGUUCCAUUGCUUCUCUUGAGUUUGCAAUUGAGCAACUUUUUUUCACCCUAAAAAACUAUAGUUUUCACAAAUGUUAACUUUGAUUUUAAGCAUGCCUUAUAAUUAAUUGAUCCCCGUACCCCCUUUUUUGUUAGUCAUGAAGUAAAUUUCUGUCUAACUUUAAGCAAACAUGAAAUGCUCAAAAGAAAAUGGAUUUUGUAGUGCAAUAGUGUAGCUUUGUAGAAUUACUCUUACUAAAAAUUGCACACCCUAAUACCUCCUUCACAUUCGCUGAGACUGCUGUGGAUUCUAAGAUAUCUGUAGAAUAUGGCUUGGCUAUGGUCUAUUUGCAAUGGCAAACUAGAAAUUCAAAAUUUAUAACUCUGUGUCUAUAACUCAAAGGCCAUACAAAUAACAUGUAAAAAUAUGGAUGUGUAUACAUUCCUCCUUUGCUUUUUACUUUGUUAGUUUCUAGAUGGAUUGUUUAAGAAGUUAGUUUCAAUAAACAACCCUCAUUUAAACAUUGGAGGGUCAGAAGAGGUCAAUCGUUGAUAAUAAUAAUAAAAAAGAUAAUGAUGUCAGUAGGGUACAUGACAUUUACAUAAUAAAAGUUAUUCAAUUUGGUGAUGAUCCAAAACCAUUUGG